AAAGUCGUAACAAGGUUUCCGUAGGUAAACCUGCAGAAGGAUCAUUAUCGUGGGGCUUCAGCCCUCUCAAGAUAGAACCCUUGCCUUUUUAAGUACCUUUCGUUUCCUCGGCGGGCUCGCCCGCCAAUAGGGACCACAAUAAACCCUUUGUAAUACCUGUAAUCGUCUAACAAAACAAACAAAAAUUAAAACUUUCAACAACGGAUCUCUUAGUUCUA
rnacentral:misc_RNA from 1 species